CAUUUUCUUAUUCAUGCUAUUUGGACCUAAUUUGCAGAACGUUAAAGUCACCAGCUAGGAUUUUGACCUGGUUAUCUGGUUUUGGCUUAUAGCACAACAUGGCGGUAGUGUAGAAAAGAUCUAAACAGAUUCUGAAUUAACCCAACUAGACAUGGAAACCAAGAACGACCUAUCGGCUGGGUCCAGUUCCUCAUCUUUGUCUCCGAGCAAAAUGAUCAUCUGGAAGCGGAUGCUACCAAGAUCAUGCCAAAGGCAGAGCAUGCCAAAGGCGAUGCUCAUUCCCGUUCUUAGUGAGAUGGGUUUAUUCGAUGCAAAGUAUGAGCAUUGCAGACUCUGGCGAGCUGUUGAAGGUCGAUGAGGAGGACGCCGCCACCACCGUCAUCAGGCUGGUCCACAUCCACGCGCUGCUCGGCGUCGCCAAGUCACCGGCACAACUCCUCACGCCCAGGUCAUUCAACAUUUUCUUUCGCUUUUGGUGUGUUGCAUUUAGAGUCUUUCUUUCCCAUUUUACCGUGUUUGCAUGGUAAGAUGUUUGGUUGGAUUUGAAGGUUCAUAGCCUUGGCUCCAAAGCUUCAAGCUCUUAUAGAAAUUAGAACUGAGGGCCUUUUAAAAUGAGUCCUGCAUAAUAGUGUUGUUCAGUGGGAUGCAGAAUUUUUGAUAGUCUGAUCGGCUAUCCUUGGUGCUGAUUUAUGUACUGAUUUCAUCAUCAUAUGACUACAAUAAAGAAGUUAUGUGUAUAAAUAUUACGAACUGCUGAUACUUUGCAUCAGUGAUUUCAAUUC